GGAGAUUUAUAUACAUAGAGAACAUGAAACAAUGGGUGUUACCAUGCACACUGUACAUGUACCAUGCACACUGUAACGAGAGUGAUCACUCAAGGUGAGCUAUUACCACCAGGUAAUGAUUUGGACCAUCUGUUUUAUUUUCUCUGAACAAUUUACUAUGUGCCCCCUCUUAUUUAUCUCCUCAGUUAAGAGUCCUAAUUUUUUCAGUGUCUUGUAUGGAAACUUUUCCAUUUCUCUGUCGUAGUAGAUCAUCUUUGUGUCCCUUCUGUAUCUGCUAAAUUUUUCUGAGAUGGGAUGACCAGAACUAAAAGCAGUAUUCAAGAUGAGGGUAUAACAUCAUUUAAUAUAAUGGCAUGAUAGUAUUCUUGAUAUGAGUAGGUAUUUUAUUGAAAUACCUAGGUCCUUUUUGUGAGUGGUUUCAGUUAAAAUAGAAUGCUGUAAUGUUUAUUAGUUUAAAUUAUUCUGUCCAGUGUGAAGUACUUUGCAUAUUUCCAAAUUGCAAUUGAACUACUAUCAUCACUCCAUUUGCCUUGCUUUGAUAGGUCCAUCUGAGGUUCUUUUUUUGAGUGUCCUAAAUUUUGUCAUUGUGACACUUCAGUUUUCCCUUCAGUUUUGCUUUUGAAAAUGGGAUUUAAGUUCCUAAAUCAUAGGAACUUUUGAAAAUUUUAUCCCAAAUCCAAAGUCGCCCUUUCCUCUUGUGUGCGCCCUAAAACUAGUUGUUCCAAGAAGCAAAUAUUUAUGGAAUCAAGGGAUUACUUCUCUAAAUAGGCUUAUAUGCAGGUGACUGAAGUCCCCUACUGUUGCUUGUGUUUAGAAUACAUUACUGUCUCCAUAGGAGAUUUUUCAUGUAGAAACUGUCAUCUUUAAAGUAAGGCUCAGACUUUUUAAACAUCUGGGUUUUAAAACAGCUUUUUGUAUAAUUACAGUGGUCCGUUUUCUUUUUCCCAUCUGAAGUAACUCUCUUCCUUGCUGGCUAUUCAGAUAUCAGAUUAGGAGUUAAUCACAAUGCUGAUUAUAUAGAGCAAAUGAUUUAUGCAAAACCAAGCAAAAAAGGAUAUAGCAGGAAUGCAGUCUCUUCACUGGAAGAAGAGACUUUGUGAAGUAUCUGCUUUAUCAGAAAAGCAUCUUGACAGCAUCGAUGGUAUCAAGCUGUUUGCUGGCCACAUAAAAUAACUGUGAACAGGCAUUGUCUACUAUAGUUUAGUAAGAACAGACUAAUCUGAGAUCCAUAAAGGAAGUUUAAAAUCAGAGUAUCUAUCUGAAAUGCAUGUUUUGUUAUUGGAAUGAACAGGUGGCUUUUAACUCUUUUUAAUAAAGUGUUAAUGAAAUCUGUCUAGUUUGCAAACCAAAUUUCUUAUAGACACUCAUCCCUAUUUAAUUUUCAUUUUCCAUACAACCAUUAAUGUCUUUCCUGAAUGGGUAAAAGCAAAAUCAGUCUUUGCACAAUCUUUUGUUAGUUUAAAUUAGCGUUGCAGGAUGUUAAACUGAUCUUGACUAAAAUACUGAUGCUGAUACUCCAGAUGCUGGUGAGUCAGUCACUAUAUACUGAAAUUGAUUUUACAAACCAUGGUGCUGCAUAUAUUGUCUAGCUUCCUUUUCAAGGUGAUGCUGAAAUUUUUUUUCCUUUGCCCAUUAAUUUAUUCUGAUUGGGAGCUGGAUUUUUCUGCUGCAGGAAACAUUGCCCUUAAAUUCUUUAUCCUAUUUUUGGCCCAAUAAUUAUUUUUGUUGUACAUUGCCCCCAUUCCUGGCCAUUGGAUUCAUUGAUUAUUGUGGUGUAAACACAAAAGAAGAAGAUGAGCUGCUUUCUAAAAAUCUACAUUUUAUCAUCUUUAUAAUGUCAUCCUUUUUAUGCGAGACAUAUUUACAAGAAUCAGAGGUGUAUUGUGUCUAUAAAAUUAGAGAGGUUUGUGCAUUUUUCAGUCACAUAUUUACUCCCCACAGCUGAAAUUUUAUUUUCACCAGAGCUGUGAGAGUGCAGAAAGGAAGCUCUUUUAUGUAGCCUGAUGGUGUCCUUGUUAAAUUCAAAGUUAUCACCUGUCAUUUCCAAGUCCUUGGUUAUUUCAUUGUCUCACAUAAUAAUUAGUAUUUUAGUAGUAUUUGCAGUGGACGUUAUUCAGUACUACUAGGACCUGUGAUUUUUUUCCUAAAAUGCUGACAAGUAGAGGGGGACAACUGCUUUGGGAGAGAGCUUCUUAGGACCUUGGCUCCUCUCUAGCCACAUGACUUCAGAUGCAGUUUAUAUACUGCUCCUAGGACAGCUAGAUCUCUCUUCUCUCCCUUUUAUUCAUAUAUUCUGACAGGAAAUACAAUAUAAUGUGUAACAAUUGGGGGUUACUCAAGUACAGCUACUACCACCUAAACACUAAAACUUAAGAAACGCUGGAUUAGUCAAACACACUACACAGCAACAGUCCAGCCACUUAAAGAAUCCCCAGUCUUCAGUGGGCCCCACUCAGUACGCAUACAUCAUGCAACAGAGCAAAAUCUCCACCAAAAUAACUUUGGGGCACGAACUGAUAUCAGCUACGUAGUUUUCAGACCACAGUAACUUAUGCUGGGAGCCAAAGGUGGCCUCAGGAUUUGGGAGAAGCAAAGGUGACUUAAAGCUGUCUUCCCCAUCUUCCCUUGAUACUUCGCUGAGCACAGCUCAGCCGGGUCAACAAAUCUGGUCCUUUAAAUCUAAAAACUGAAC